CCCGCUGAACUUAAGCAUAUCAAUAAGCGGAGGAAAAGAAACUAACAAGGAUUCCCCUAGUAACGGCGAGUGAAGCGGGAUGAGCUCAAAUUUAAAAUCUGGCUGGUUUACCAGUCCGAGUUGUAGUUUAAAGAAGCGUUUUCGGUGGCAGGCCGGGUAUAAAUCCUUUGGAACAGGGUAUCAUAGAGGGUGAGAAUCCCGUCUUUGACUCGGCUGAUGUUACUAUGUGAUACGUUUUCAAAGAGUCGAGUUGUUUGGGAAUGCAGCUCAAAAUGGGUGGUAAAUUUCAUCUAAAGCUAAAUAUUGGCGAGGGACCGAUAGCGAACAAGUACCGUGAGGGAAAGAUGAAAAGAACUUUGAAAAGAGAGUUAAACAGUGCGUGAAAUUGUUGAAAGGGAAACGUUUGACACCAGUCAUGUGGGUGGAAAAUCAGUCUUUUGCAUUGGGGAGUUGUAAAGGUUCGGACCGCAAGGCCGGCUUUUGCUUCAUCUUUGGUGUAAGGGAUGCACUUUUUCAUCUACAGGUCAACAUCAGUUUCUUUUGCUGGACAAAACUCCGAGAGAAGGUAGCAGCUUAGGCUGUGUUAUAGCUCUGGAGCGAUACAGUGAAGGGGACUGAGGUUUUCGCAGCGUGUGCUCUCGGGCAAGGCUGGAUGGGUGCUAUGGGAUCGUUCGGGGUACAAUGCCUGGCAUUUUGCUUCGUGUCUUUUCUAUACUCGCUCAACUCAGCUCUUCCACGCUUAGGAUGUUGACUUAAUGGUUUUAAACGACCCGUCUUGAAACACGG
rnacentral:rRNA from 1 species